GUUGAUCCUUGCCUGCAGUAGUCCAUAUGCUUGUCUCAAAGAUUAAGCCAUGCAUGUCUAAGUACAAACCUUAAUACGGUGAAACCGCGAAUGGCUCAUUAAAUCAGCUAUGGUUCCUUAGAUCGUCUCAUCCUACUCGGAUAACUGUGGAAAAUCUAGAGCUAAUACGUGCUUACAAGCCCUGACCUCACGGGGGGGCGCAUUUAUUAGAUCAAAACCAAUCGGGGCUUGCCCCGUCUGCUUGGUGACUCUGGAUAACUUUUGUGCUGAUCGCAUGGCCUCUGCGCUGGCGACGUAUCUUUCAAGUGUCUGCCCUAUCAACUUACGAUGGUAGGUGAUAUGCCUACCAUGGUUAUAACGGGUAACGGGGAAUCAGGGUUCGAUUCCGGAGAGGGAGCCUGAGAAACGGCUACCACAUCUAAGGAAGGCAGCAGGCGCGCAAAUUACCCACUCCCGGCACGGGGAGGUAGUGACGAAAAAUAACGAUACGGGACUCUUUUGAGGCCCCGUAAUUGGAAUGAGUACACUUUAAAUCCGUUAACAAGUAUCUAUUGGAGGGCAAGUCUGGUGCCAGCAGCCGCGGUAAUUCCAGCUCCAAUAGCGUAUAUUAAUGUUGCUGCAGUUAAAAAGCUCGUAGUUGGAUCUGAGGACUCGAAUUGGUGGUGCACCAUACGGUGUUACUGCCGAUUCGGCCUACCUAGUCGGUGCUCGCUCUUGGUGUUCUUAAUUGAAUGCCCUGAGUGCCCGGCAAGUUUACUUUGAAAAAAUUAGAGUGCUCAAAGCAGGCCAUUAGCCGGAAUACUUCAGCAUGGAAUAAUGGAAUAGGACUUCGGUUCUAUUUUGUUGGUUUUCGGAACCCGAGGUAAUGAUUAAGAGAGACAGACGGGGGCAUUCGUACUGCGGUGUUAGAGGUGAAAUUCUUGGAUCGCCGCAAGACGAACAACUGCGAAAGCAUUUGCCAAGAAUGUUUUCAUUAAUCAAGAACGAAAGUCAGAGGUUCGAAGACGAUCAGAUACCGUCCUAGUUCUGACCAUAAACGAUGCCAACUGGCGAUCCGAGAUCGUUUGCUUAUUGACCUCUCGGGCAGCCUCCGGGAAACCAAAGUUUUUAGGUUCCGGGGGAAGUAUGGUUGCAAAGCUGGAAACUGUUCAAUUGCAACUCUGCCUGUGACACCAAGUGGUCGGGUUACUUGGUCUGUUCUGGCCCGGAGUCGGUAGGGUUUCCGGCCUUGUGCUCUUUCCUUACUGUUCUCUGUAACGCCGAAGGCGGGGCUUCCACGGUGGGGAAGCGGUUGUACAAAUCCGGCAAAUCCAGCCAAAUGGGUUCCGGACUCUGUCCAACCUGCAACUGGUAACAGCCUCGGCUGGCUAACAUUUUGAGCUGGGACUCGCUUGGGAGGAGCGAGGAUAAUAUAAACCUCUAUGUGACUGAGGUGAGGAAUCUGGUUCUCGUAAAAUGGCUGGAGAUCCCGAGCCUGUAAGUCAUAAAUUAGUUCCCCCACGAGGGGAGGUGUCGAAUUGAAGCCAGUGCGUGCCCUUACUAGUUUAAGGGAUUGUAUACUUCCUUUGGUGUACCCACCUGGAAGUGCCCAAGGGGUCCUAUCCCUGCACUCCAUCCCCGAUUGGAGUCAGGUGACGGCUCCUUACCUCACCAGCGCGGCCGGACCCCGGAAGGGGUCUGGGCCCCGAAGCCUGACGGCGUCGGGGUGCAGGAAGCCUCUAGGCGACCAGCCCAGCCGUGCAGAAAUGCAGUAGGCCUUUA
rnacentral:rRNA from 1 species